AAGUCGUAACAAGGUUUCCGUAGGUGAACCUGCGGAAGGAUCAUUACAGUGGAUUGAGUUCUCUUCGGAGGAUGAAACACCCGACCUCUUGUCAUUUGUCACCGCUGGGGAAGGGAGAUGUGGUCAAACUGCGGUUACCCGGAGACGGGUGGCUGGAGGGCGGUCCUCUCCGCCUUGGCGGAUUUUCUUUCGGCGGAAGAGGUAGGCUUUGACCUGCCCGCCGCCGGCCGUAACCUUUUACUCUUAUGAGAAUCUGAAGUCUGAAGAAAACACAAAAACGAAAAGCAAAACUUUUAACAACGGAUCUCUUGGCUCUG
rnacentral:misc_RNA from 1 species